rnacentral:rRNA from 1 species
GACGAACGCUGGCGGCGUGCCUAAUACAUGCAAGUCGAGCGGAGCACUUCGGUGCUUAGCGGCGGACGGGUGAGUAACACGUAGGCAACCUGCCUAUAAGACUGGGAUAACUAUCGGAAACGAUAGCUAAGACCGGAUAACUGGUUUUCUCGCAUGAGGGAAUCAUGAAACACGGAGCAAUCUGUGGCUUAUAGAUGGGCCUGCGGCGCAUUAGCUAGUUGGUAGGGUAACGGCCUACCAAGGCGACGAUGCGUAGCCGACCUGAGAGGGUGAACGGCCACACUGGGACUGAGACACGGCCCAGACUCCUACGGGAGGCAGCAGUAGGGAAUCUUCCGCAAUGGACGCAAGUCUGACGGAGCAACGCCGCGUGAGUGAUGAAGGUUUUCGGAUCGUAAAGCUCUGUUGCCCUAGACGAACAGCAAGGCGAGUACCUGCGCUUUGUGUGACGGUAUAGGAGAAGAAAGCCCCGGCUAACUACGUGCCAGCCGCCGCAGUAAGAC